ACAGAAGGCAGAGCUCAGAACACAAAGAGUUAAAGGGCCCUCCGCACUGCACCCCACUCUUCCACAGCAGCCUGACCAUUUAACUGAGAGAGCUGCCUGCUGAUUUACAACCCAUCCAUCGAGCCUGAUGAACUGUAAAUAAAUUACAUAAGAACUAGCUAUGAAGAGAAAAUAAAGUACCAAAUGUAAUCCAUUUGGCAAAUUGCAUUCCCAGCCAAUGAAAAGAGGUCUGUAAAUUAUAGUGAGGAAAAAUGAGUCUCCCCAAAUUGAUAUAAAACUCACAUAACCUUAUCACAGGAUUUGAUGCACUGCAAGCUGCACAAUGCACAUUUUCCUUACACACUCCAGUAGUUCUGGCAAUUGCAGCAGGGCUUAGCAAAUUAACAAUGGUUGUUAGGGGAGUUGCUUGAGGAUUCUCAUUUAUGAGAAUAAAAUGCUUUAAUCCAAUAAUAUUUGGAAAAAUUCUAGGGCUCAUCCCACCCUUGAUUGGACACAUGUCCAGAUGCUUUUGAUUCCAAGGACACUGGUAAGACAACCACCCGCUGGUCACCCUGGCAUCUCUGUCCAGUGAAUGGCCCACUGGCACCAUUGAUUGUGAUGCUUUCAGCCUGGCUAUGUGCUGCCUACCUCCCCAAAUCUCACAGCUCCUCUGCAAUUUGAGAUUUAAGCCAAUGCAGAGAAGCUUAGCUACCUGUGAGAAGGACACCAAUUUUAAAAAGGAACACAUUUGUAGUGUACGGUUACCUAUUAAACGCCAAAACAAAUGUAUACUUGGGGGCACUUUCUGUUAUAGAAAAUGAGACUUGAGCCUGAGGAGGUCCACCAUUCUGUCUAUGUUUCAGACAGAACAAAGGAACUGAGAGUCUCACAGGUAACUGCGGUCCAAUUCAUCCUUUCCCUACAUGUUGAAUGUUCACUAGAAGCUACAAUCAUGUGAGGCACUGGCCAUGCUGAUGCAAGGCAGAGUCCUCACACUCAAAGAGCUCAUGGUCCCGUGUUACAUAUGGGGCAGUAUGUGUAACAGCCCUGUGACAAGGGCUAGCAAGGAGAUAAUGACUUAGGUGCAAGUGAGCACAGAGAAGAGAAGCCUGACUUGUAAGCUAACUUUCUGACCUCAAAGUUGAGAGGGUCAUCAAUUUGAAGGCAGUAGGUAUGGGGAGACACACUGAGGAAUGUAAUAAUAUGUGUGACAAGUAGAGAACCGCUGGGGUUUGAAUAACUAUUACUGAAAAGGAAGUCAUGUGUGCAUCUCCCAUUUGGAGUCAGAGCCCAGGGGGAAUAAAGAAUGCAGCCAAUGACAAGCAGAGAUGUUUGAAGCUAUGAUCAAGCUUCACUGUUCACUGAAUUAAUUCCAAAUCCUUAUUCCAAUGCAGGUUAUUCUUUUCUGUUUAGUGUGACGAUCUGGUAACAUGAAUAUUCGUGAUUAAUGUCACGUCUAUCAAGAAUUAUCCCAAAAGUGCAUCUUUUAGGCAUUAUGCAGCCUGUGAUAGGCUCACAUUGGCUUGCAAGCUCUGUCACUCCUCACUGCUGAGUAGAACGGCACAGCUUGAUGACCUGGGCACCACCCACAAGAGGACUAUUUGACAAUUCCACUUUGGUUACAUCCUGCACCAAUGAAGGGUGAUCAAGGGAACCAGGGUGCUCACCCACCAGGCCUCCAUUUCCACUGGCUGACAAUGCCACCAGACACAUGCUACAGGGUUGUUUCAGAUUCAGAGAGGCCCUCCAAGCAUCCUAAGCCCUUACGGAUAGUGACUUCUGCUAUAACCCAGAGCUAAAGAUGUUCUUUCUGUCACUCCGUAUCCCUCCAGUAUGUUCAUGACUGGCCUCAGAACUGAGCUGGACAUUUCAUGAAGAAAAACAUAAUAUAUUCUCAUAUGUUGUUCACAAUCAUAUUGAUCCAUCAAGCCUCCCACCUGCUUAGGUUAAAACAAGACAUUUCUCAAACAAGUUCAACAGAAUCCUAGCCCUGGGAUAUGACACUAGGAAAAAGGAAAAUGCUCUGUAGUCAAUGAGUUUUGGGACAUGCUCUGCAUUCUUAUUUCCUUUUGCAGAUUUGCAGAGCACAUUUAUAUCUCAAGGGCUCUAAGAACUUGACAUAAGGAAGCCUUUAACUUCUUUAUUUGUUCUCAAGUUUCUCAUAUUUAUUUGACCAGGAAAUGUUAUUUUAAUACAUUUAAUGUGUGGAUUUUUUUUUUCUUUUCUGAGAUGGAGUCUUGAUCUGUUGCCUAGGCUGGAGUGCAGUGCGAGACUUUGUCUCAAAAAAAGAAAAAAGGAGGAAGAAGGCUAAUUGCUCCAGUCAGUGUUCUGCUCCCUCAAGUUGCAGUGAUGAGCACAGGCCCAGAGCCAGACUGCUCAGGUUUGAAUCCCAGCUCUGAUGUUUCCUAGCAGUGUGAUCGUAGGCAGGCCACUUACUUGCUCUGUGUAAGUU